rnacentral:lncRNA from 1 species
AGACACGGUAGUGUCUCGCGCCAAGUGAACGCGCAGCGCGAGACCACCGUACAUUUACGCGAGUACGCGACUUGCACCUGAGAUUAUCAGAUCUUAAUAACGAUUUAACCGAUCAAGUUCUAACUAGGUUCAAUCGAAAGCUUGGGUUUGAUUUAUUAAAAAAAAUGUUUUCAUUUUUUUUCUGUGUGCUCUACGAGCGGAGAUAUAGCGACGCAAAGUCCAAAACGUAAAUUUUUCAUUUAAGAUAUGUCGUCGGUCUUUGUCGAGUACACAAAUUCAAUACGAGAGGGCUCUUCUAAGACUUACCUGUCACAGUUUCUUAUAAAAUAUAUACUGCAUAUUGAUAUGAUGAUAAAUCGCUGUCAUUCGUGAUAUGAUCGUUUUGUGAGAGUAAAGAAUAAAUAUUAAGUGAUAUAUCUGUAAAUCGUACAAUUAAUAAUUUCUUAUAAGAAAAGUCUCGUAGAUCCGAUAAGAAGUGCGCGUUCGUAGUCGAAUAUACAUACUUUGCACGCCAAGUUUUUGCUUUACUAUAAUCCCGUUGGUUGAUUUUAAUCAUUUAAUUAUUUGAUCAUCAAGCCCGUUUAUUAUUAAAUAUUUUAAUAAAAAGUUAUAAUUAAUAAAUAAAUUUUGUACAAAUAUUUUUAUAAUUGGCGCAUUUACUUUAUACCGUUAUUUGUGUAGAAAAAACAAUAGAACAAUAGGACAGUAAGACAAUUUAUCUAAUAUAAUUUUUUUUUUUCUUAAGGACGCACAUACCCACACUUGGCGCCUUUUUUUACCUUUUUUGAGAAAGGUAAUUUUGUUCGGAUAUAUUUAUUUACAUCAAAUGCGAAUUUCAAAUGUAAAUGUUUUCUAAUAUUGUUUGUGACAGAACUUUUUGAAAAGAAGUUUUGGAAAUGUUUGACUAAUGUUUUUAUCAUCAUAUGAUUGAAUAAUUUAAUUAAUAUUGAUUUUAUUUAUUAAUUUAUUUAUACAUAAAAAGUAUUUCAAAAACAUAUUUUUUAUUGAUAUAAAUGAUGUUUUAUCGAAUUUUCAACUCGAUCAUAUAUGGCAGUUCAGUGCCAUUUUCUACCUCGUCACGUAAUAAACGCAACGUGAUUGCAUUGCUGCAUACACUGUGCGGAUGACAUGAGUCCGUAUACGAAUAAUGUUUUCAUUCGUACAUUGAGAUAAAUACAAUCAUACGUAAAUUGUGAUAAAUACAAUCAUACAGUGAAAUCUUUUUUCGAUUACUCAUAUACCUUCUCAUGCAUGACUGCAUAGUGCCACCUUCCGCGCACAUACACGUGUCGCCAUAUCACAUCGUGAGGGCAAUAUGAUUGUGGUACACGCACGUGUGAUAAUCACACCGUGAGAGUGACGUGAGCCGUCACAAUUUGUUAUCUGGGAUUUGUUGCACAACGACCGAUAACGGUUCAAACUUUGUUAAAGCAUUUCGGUAAGACAAUAACCAUGAUAUACUUUUUAACAUCUGUCUUCUUGCAUUGUUUAUACGUAUUUGUAUUCGUGUGCAUAUUCUAUUUUUAUAUAUAUAAUUUAUAAAUUUUUUAGAACAUUUGAGAAAAAUGAAGAUAAUGAGGAAUCUGUGCAAUUCUGUGACAUAAGUGAUUUGUUAACUACAAAUAACGAAAGAAAUAUAUCUACGGAUAAUUUUAUUAUUCUUCCGACACAUUAUAGAUGUGUUAGUCAUACUCUGAACCUCAUCGUAAAAGAUUCCGAGAAAGCCUUAGAUGAUGCUUCAUACAAAAAACAGUACAGAAUGACGUUUGCAAAAUUAUCCAAAUUAUGGAAUAAACAAAAUUAAUUUACACAGAUUGCCGACAAAAUUAAAGAAAUGUGUAGCGUUUAUUUAAAAACUCCUGUCAUUAUCAGGUAAAAAAUAUAUAUUAUAUUUUAUGUUUUUAUUUUUACUUUGGUAUAUAAAUAUUAUUAAUAUUAAUAUCGUUCCUAUAUAAAACAAUAAAAAUAAUUUUCUGUUUAUAUUUUUUACAUUAAUAGGUGGAAUUCUACUUAUGAUUCCGUAUCUCAACUAGUAUCACUUUUAAAAGCUAAUUUAGAAAAAGUAAAUAAUGCAUGGACUAUUGCAGUUUACAAAGAUUAACUAAUGAAAAAAUAAAAUUUCUAGAAGAAUAUUGCCAGGUAAAUUCAGCAAAAUAUAUAAUAUAAUCCAUAACUUUAUAGUAUUUAUAAUUUUUUUUAAUUUGUAUUAGGUAACCUUUUGGGACCUUUAGCACGUGCAUUAGACAUUCUGCAAAGCGAUAUAGAAAUGUAUAUGAGUUAUUUGUUGCCAGCAUUAGGUAGCUUGCAACAAAAAAUGGAAAACAUCAACAAAGAUGAUCUUACAUAUUGUCGUUCAUUGGUCGUAGCUAUACAAAUAAGUUUAAAUAAAAGAUUUUCUACUACAUUCGAAAAUAAAGAAUUCAUUAUUGCCAGCUGUUUACAUGCCAAAUUCAAAUUAAAUUGGUUAUUUGGAGAUAAACGAAAAAUUACAGAUAGUUAUUUAUACGAGUAAUUCGGAAUUCGCUCAAAUGGAAAUUCUCCACUCUCUGAUGUUACUGAGAGUUAUGAUGACUUUUUUGUUUUAAUAAUAAUAAAAACAAAUAGUAUAUACUAAAUCUGCUCAAGAUGAGUUGCAUCGAUUUUUAAUUUCAAAAGAUACUAAAAUUGAAAUGCUAAAUGAUUUUUCUCAAAUUAAAAAAUUGUUUACAACACUGCACUACUCAUUGUCAGUAGUGCAUCAGUUGAACGGUUGUUCAGCGUCAGUGAUUCGGUAUUAAUUCCAAAAAGAAAUCGUUUACAUGAUGAGACUUUAGACCAUCAACUUAUGUUAAAAAUAAACAAAGCAUAUUAUUAAACUAUUAUAUAAUGCAUGUGAUCUAUAUUUUUACAUAUUAUAGAUUUAUUAAUUUAAUAUUUAAUUUUAAUUUAAACAUUUAAAGUAUUUCAUCAAGUACACUAAAUAAAUAAAUAAUGUAAUAUGUAAUAAUGUGUGCUUUUCAGCAAGACACAGUGUAACGCAGUGUCCAUUAGAGAAAGAACAUAUCAGUGUGUCUCACUCACACUAGUGGACACUGUGUUAAACUGUGUCUUGCUGAAAAGCAUACAUAGAUAUGUAUUGAAAAUAUAUAAAAGUAUUUAAAGAUAAAUAUCUUCCAAUUUUUAAUUCUGUACGUCUUAAUAUCCUAUUUUAUAAAUCUGUCUUAUUAUUACUAAGUCUGUCUUAUCUUACUAAGAUUGCAGUCGAUAAUCCUAUCUCUCAUGAUAAAAAAUUGGGGCAGCUAUUAAAAUUGGGAAUAGGUGUCCCAACUUUUUAUCAUGGAAGGAAAAUUCACCUUGUAUGUAUAAAAUUCGUAUGUUAAAACGUUUCUGAUGACAAAUGUUUAUUUUAUCGUAUGUGUAAUUUUCAGGGUUGGGAAGUAACGCGUUACUUGUAACGCCGUUACCGUUUUUGUUACAUUUUUUUGGUAACGCUCGUUACUUUUUUAUGUCUGUAACGGUAACGGUAACGUCGUUACAUUUUUACAGUAACGGUAACGAAUUCAGCCGUUACUUUUAUCGUUACUUUAGUUCCCUAUAUCUUUUAUAUCUGUUCAAUAGAUCGCGUACUGGUCGCGCGCAUUAUUCUUAAUUGGAUAAAAAUAUUCCAAUAUAGGGCGCUGGAAGUCAAUGUCACAUGAGAAUGCCCUAUUGAAAUAUCUUGUUAAUGCGAUGCGUAAACCUUUUAUUUUGAGAUUUAAAAGACUGUAGAUAGUCGUCUUCAAUACGCAAAUACAUACAAUAUGUAUAACCUAUCUGCUAGAUUAUAGGUUACGUGCAAUAAAUGCAAUUAUAAAAUAUUUCCAUAUUUUAUAAUAUAUAUUUUAAAUAUAUGUUUGAAAAAUAUUUUCUACCUUAUAUAGGCUGCAUUCCGAUAGUCACUGCUAGUAUUAAAAGUCUAAAAGUCUAUAGUAUAUGUAUAUGAAACUGAACUAUAGAUUUUCAAUACUGGCAAUGAAUAUUGGAAUGCUUAUAUAACAUUAAUUUUUAAAAACAAGGUUUAUUAAAAAUUUUUGACAAAAUGACAUUUGUGAAUUACAAUAUAAAUUCUUAUAAAGAUAAGUAUAUUAAAAAAA